ACCUACCACUCGUACACUGCAGUUCUCGCGCGCUGUUUAUAGCCGGCUGAAGACUGCUCGCUACGUGUUGUCAGCC
rnacentral:sRNA from 12 species